AAGUCGUAACAAGGUCUCCGUUGGUGAACCAGCGGAGGGAUCAUUAGAGAGUUUAGGAACAACUCCGAAAACCCAUCGCGAACCUUACCCAGUUGCCUCGGCGGGACGGCGGCCGGCGCGACCCUACCCCGGAGGGAGUUACCCUGUGACGAGUUACCCUGUAACGAGUCGCCCUGUAACGCGCUACCCUGUAGCGCCCUCCCCGGUGGCGUCUGGCCGCGGCCGCCCGCCCCGCCGGCGGCCGAUACAAGCUCUGUUAUGUUAUAGUGUGGGCCUCUGAGUUAUAACUGUGGGAAUGCAUAAAAACUUUCAACAACGGAUCUCUUGGUUCUG
rnacentral:misc_RNA from 1 species